rnacentral:tmRNA from 1 species
GAGGUCAAACCCAAAAGAGAUCGCGUGGACGUCCUGCCUGGGGCUGAAGCGUUAAACUCAAUCAGGCUAGUCUGUCAGUAGCGUGUCCAUCCGCAGCUGGCCGG